UAAAUUUAUUUUUUGUGGGGGAGGGAUCAUCACAAUGGCUUGCCAUUGGGUCCCUUAGGUGUCGCUUGGGCGUUGCACUACAGCCCAGGCAGGCGCACCCCAA
rnacentral:snRNA from 1 species